UGAAUCUCAGUGGAUCGUGGC
rnacentral:siRNA from 1 species